rnacentral:rRNA from 1 species
CCUACGGGUGGCAGCAGUGAGGAAUAUUGGUCAAUGGCCGGAAGGCUGAACCAGCCAUGCCGCGUGAAGGUCAGUGCCCUAUGGGCGUUAAACUUCUUUUGUGCGGGAGCAAUAAUGGUCACGUGUGGCCAGACGAGAGUACCGUACGAAUAAGCAUCGGCUAACUCCGUGCCAGCAGCCGCGGUAAUACGGGGGAUGCAAGCGUUAUCCGGGUUUAUUGGGGUUAAAGGGUUCGGAGGCUGUGAGGUAAGUCAGCGGGGAAAUGCCCCCGCUUAACGGGGUGAAGUGCCAUUGAUACUGCCUGGCUGGAAUGCGGAUGCGGUAGGAGGAAUGUGUGGUGUAGCGGUGAAAUGCUU